rnacentral:rRNA from 1 species
GUCCGUACGAGCGCACCCCUAUCCCUAGUUGCUAGCAGUUCGGCUGAGAACUCUAGGGAGACUGCUGGUGACAAACCGGAGGAAGGUGGGGAUGACGUCAGGUCAUCAUGGCCCUUACGGCCAGGGCUACACACGUGCUACAAUGGUGCGCACAGAGGGCUGCAAACCCGCGAGGGGGAGCUAAUCUCACAAAACGCAUCGUAGUCCGGAUCGGAGUCUGCAACUCGACUCCGUGAAGUCGGAAUCGCUAGUAAUCGUGAAUCAGAAUGUCACGGUGAAUACGUUCCCGGGCCUUGUACACACCGCCCGUCACACCACGAAAGUCAGCUGUACCUGACGUCGCUGGAGCUAACCCGCAAGGGAGGCAGGUGCCCACGGUAUGGUUGGUGAUUGGGGUGAAGUCGUAACAAGGUAGCCGUAGGGGAACCUGCGGCUGGAUCACCUCCUUU